CGAAAAGCAAACAUAUAAGUGAGGGGAAAAAGUAUGUGAGGGAUUUCUAAAUCAUUUUGAAGGUGAUUUUCUAGCCAGUCAUGAUUGGGAAUUAAAGACCAGCAGCUCUACAGAGUUUCUCUUCAGGUAUAAAAUCAACAUUUGAGCUGCUGUCAUGAGUUCCAGAAAGAGUCUCUCUGGAGAAAGUGACACAAACACAAGGAACAGUUUGACUCGUGGAGAAUCUCCUAAACCCAGCUGUGUGUCCAUGAAGAGUGAUGAUUCAAUGGAACGUCCAAUUCACUUCAGUUCAGGAGACUGUGAUGAUACAGAUGUGAGUAACACAACAAAUGGAUCUUUCAAAGGGAAGCACAUGGAUUCUGUUUUCCAGGUGGGUGUCUGUGUGUG